rnacentral:lncRNA from 1 species
UCACGAAAUAUGUGAAAAUACGUUUUUCAACAAAAAAUAUCUCAAAAAAGGCCAAAUAUUUAUUUGUUAAAUUAUGAUAAUUUUUCGUAUUAUUUUUUUGAAUAAAACAAUUUUCUCAUAAUUUUGACUUUCCAAAAUAUAAGUUUUAGUUGGUAAUAAUGAAUUUUGUUACAAAUGGGUUCAAGCCUGUUAUGGUGAGAACAAGAUUUUGCUAAAUUCGAAUUGAUAAUCAAUCGAAACGAACGGUUUCUUUGACGGGGAAAGGAAAAGGUGAAGAUAGAUUUCAUAAAAAAAGAGGAUUAUCUUGGAGAGAGAGAUUUUUUAGAAAAUAUAUGUGGGAGGACGGAGGAUAUUUUAAUCCUAGCUCUUGAUUUCAAGAGUUAAGAUGGAAUGUCUAAAUUUGUGUUCUCGGAUCCGCCCCGUAUAUAUAUAUAUAUAUAUAUAUAUAUAUAUAUAUUUACCAUUGAUUUUAAUAGUUCAUUUUGGAUGUGAUAGAGGCCAAGGUGUGAUACAGAUUUCUUGAGGGGGGUCAUCCACACAUAACCUAAACCACAAUGGGGAAAAGUGAAAUUUUUCCAAAGGAAAUGUUAAGAAAUAGAGGACAAGUCAAUAACAAUUUUAAAAGCUUAAGAGCGAAAAUUGUAAUUUUGAUUGAAAAGUGCAAUAAUAGUGCGUGGCACCAUCAUUUGCCCUCGUGGCAUUAUCAGCAACCUAGUUUUUAUUAGUAGGUAUCAUUUCUAACCAAUUGUCUUCAUAAAACACUUUCCAUAACACUUCACAUAAAUUAUAUGUGAAAACAUUGAUACUACUCAUUUUUCAGAAAUUGUUUUGAAACAUCUUUUCGAUCAGCAGUGUUACGGUCUCUAAAUUUACAUUAUGAAAAAUUUUCUGAAUUUAAAAUAAAUUUUUUAUAUUCACUCGAGCGUGCGACGUUACAUGACCAAGUGAAUCUGAAUUAUUUAUUUUGAAUUUAAAAAUUUCUUGGUCCAAAUUCAAUGACCCUUUUAUAUAGAAUAAAUUACAUUCUUCAUCCCUUCAUUUUUAUUAAAAGCUCAUUUUGCAUAUUUUAUUUUAUACUAUACUAGUCAAUCCCCUUCACUUUAAAUCAAGUAUCAAUAUAAGCUUGUAAUUAAGGGUCGCGUAGCCAUAUAGCCCUGUGGCCUCAUUUCAUCACUUAAGAGAUAUAUGAAGGGGCAUAUUAAUACUUUACAAGUAAUACAAAGUAGAAUUUUAGUAAUUAAAGUUAGAAGGUUCAAAAAUGUAAUUUAUUCAUUUUUGAUAUUAUGUAAAAAAGUUUGUUUGUUUAUUUUGAAUUUGUUUGGCGUAACUUUAUUUUGAGUUUUUUUUUUUUCGAGAGAAAAUUAAAAAUGUAAAAAUUCUAUUCAAAUUUAUAAAAAAAUCCACUAAAGACAAAAAAAAUUAGCUAAUUUAUCAAGUAUUUUUUUUUCUUUAGUGAACUUUUUUCUAAAUUAGAUAAAAUUUAUUUACAUUUUUGGACUCCUUAUCCCAAGAGCAAUAGAAAAACAUGUAAAAUUUUGAUAACUGAAGACAAAAAAAUUUAAAAAUCAAAGCAGUUAAAAAACUUAAAAUAAAUCUAGAACCAACAAAGCCUAAAACUAAAACUAAACCAAACUAUAAGGCAGUGAAUUGUGAAAUAAUGAGAUAUAUGCAUACCGGAGCCCGGAGAUGGCAUCCCUAGGAAUCUUGAUCUUCUUAACAGCUCCUCCAGCGUGCAAUCCAGCCUCUUCUCCACAGGCUGCGGCUCUCUUUAUCGUCGACUGAGAAUAUAUAUGUGGGGUGUAGUGUUUGUGAAGUAGAAAAAAAAAAUUUGAGAAUAAACACCUGCAGUGGACUAAUGGUGGAAAAAAGUGACUGCAAAUAGUUGUUGGUUGCUAUGGCCUAGCUACAACACAGAAAUAGUGAGUUCGGUUGCCGGAGUUAUUUUUGAAAAAAGGCUCUUCGACGGUCAAGUUAGUUGAUCGGAGAAUCAAAGUGUAGGUAGAGAGAGAGAAAGAGAGUAGAAGCUUAGAGUAGCUUAGUUUGCGUACUUUUUUGAGAUAAGGUUGACCUUAUAUACCUUAGUUUGGCGCAUACCUCAACGUUUCAACUGUCGUGUUACUGGACGGACUGCAACUCGGCGCGUGUCUAGACGCACUGACUGCUGUGUCAGUGAGUAAGUAGGCUGUUAACUCAGUUAUGCCCCUAAGAACUAGUUGGUAGCUGGCCAUCAUGUCGUCAACGUCUCGACCUAAGCGUGGGGCCGUUAGAGAAAACAUUGCCAAGCAAGUUACCUUUCGUCCCCUGAUGUGCCUCAGGAUCACCGCUGACCGUUACCUCUCGACCAAGGUUUGGUGUGAUGACCCAACCAAGCUUGAUCUAGAGCAACAACUCAGCAGUGAAUGUUGCCUUCUUUGAACAGGGCUAAUGUUCGGCAGUAUCGAGAUUGAGCUCAGGCGCAAAGAUCCUAUCGAGCUUAUUUCGUAGUGACAUCUCGGCGGUG